rnacentral:rRNA from 1 species
UACAGAGGUCUCAAGCGUUUGUUCGGAGUUCAAGUUGGGCGUAAAGGGUGCGUAGGUGGCGCUGUAAGUCAAGGUUGUGAAAUUUCGGAGCUUAACUCCGAAACUGCAUUUGAUACUGCGGUGCUUGAGGACUGGAGAGGAGAUUGGAAUUCACGGUGUAGCAGUAGAAAUGCGUAGAUAUCGUGAGGAAGACCAGUGGCGGAAGGCGGAUCUCUGGACAGUUCCUGACACUGAGGCAGCGAAGGACUAGGGGAGCAAACGGG